GACGAACGCUGGCGGCGUGCUUAACACAUGCAAGUCGAGCGGAAAGGCCCUUCGGGGUACUCGAGCGGCGAACGGGUGAGUAACACGUGAGUAACCUGCCCUAGACUUUGGGAUAACCCUCGGAAACGGGGGCUAAUACCGGAUACUCCUUCUAAAGCGCAUGAUUUGGUGGGGAAAGUUUUUCGGUCUGGGAUGGACUCGCGGCCUAUCAGCUUGUUGGUGGGGUAAUGGCCUACCAAGGCGAGGACGGGUAGCCGGCCUGAGAGGGCGACCGGCCACACUGGGACUGAGACACGGCCCAGACUCCUACGGGAGGCAGCAGUGGGGAAUAUUGCACAAUGGGCGGAAGCCUGAUGCAGCGACGCCGCGUGAGGGAUGACGGCCUUCGGGUUGUAAACCUCUUUCAGCAGGGACGAAGCGUAAGUGACGGUACCUGCAGAAGAAGCGCCGGCCAACUACGUG
rnacentral:rRNA from 1 species